AUUGAACGCUGGCGGCAGGCCUAACACAUGCAAGUCGAACGAGUGGCGGAGGGGUGAGUAAUGUCUGGAAAACUGCCUGAUGGAGGGGGAUAACUACUGGAAACGGUCGCAAACACCGCAUAACAUCGUAUGCGCCGAGGUGGGUUUAGCGAGUAGGGGGGGUAACGGCUCACCUAGGCGACGAUCACUAGCUGGUCUGAGAGGAUGACCAGCCACACUGGAACUGAGACACGGUCCAGACUCCUACGGGAGGCAGCAGUGGGGAAUAUUGCACAAUGGGCGCAAGCCUGAUGCAGCCAUGCCGCGUGUAUGAAGAAGGCCUUCGGGUUGUAAAGUACUGUCAGCGGGGAGGCGUUACCCGCAGAAGAAGCACCGGCUAACUACGUGCCAGCAGCCGCGGUAAUUC
rnacentral:rRNA from 1 species